AUUGACAGACCUGGCACUCCCUCUGUCAUCUGGACCACUUCCUCUUCUCACAGGAAGUCUCUCACACAGAGAAUGGCACUCUUUCAGAAAAUGGGGUCAAGAAAAGCUGUCUCGAGGAGCACUCAGAUCGGUGCAGUAGUGAUACCUUGAGAGAGACAGAAGCAAACACUGUACCUCUGCCCAAACAUGGUGUGAGUACACAGAUCUAGGAUCAACAGAUCUAGAAUCAAUCUACACACAGAAUACAAUCAGAAUCUGUCCCGAGGUCAGCUGUUAUAAC
rnacentral:lncRNA from 1 species